UGCAACAACCGAUGAUUCGUUGUAUCCUACAGAUUGAUGAGUUAUGGGAUGAAGAAGUCCAGGCAAUCUUUUGAUGUUUUCGUUAAUAUAAUUUGAUUGUAGUGGAAUAAUCAUUUGAUAUGGAUGUCAAUAAUAAGAUUUUCAGUGUUACCGGCUUAAAAUAAAUGUAUCGUCUACCAAGUCUUCUGAGAACAGCAGCUCUUCGCCAGAUCGCUCAAGCAUACAGUUAUAUGUCUAAAGAUGUUCCAUUUGCAGCUGAUGUACGAGCCUGAAUGUUGCAGGUUGUAGAUGUUCUUGCUGAUGCAGUUAAAGGACAUAAUGUUAUUAAAGUACAAUCCUUGGCCUUACAAUCACUGAUCAGUUGGUAUAAAUUGAUAUUUUUUUUUUAAAUAAAUUGGGC